GGUCCUUCCGCCCCUCCAACCAAUAGCUGCUGUGAUACCAGCCCAUUGGGGCGUGGUCUCUCUCCCUUUAAAAAAGCGGCUAUUUCCUCUGCUCGCUCUCUUCACUUCCUGCUCCGCCGGAGACUAGACUCCCUUCCUGGUUGUGCAGAUGGCUGUUGUCUGGGACGGUGAUCUGGAUGACGUAAUACGUGACACUAUUCCUGAGGAGAUUUCAACAAACAUCUACUCACCUCAGAUAAACAACUAAGACAGAGCAAAUCAAGGAUAUCACCAAAUCCAACUUGAACUGUUUGGUUUGUUCUUUAGUUGGAUCUGAAACGCUACAUAGAUCCAUGUAUGGAAAGAAGUUAGACCCCAGUUUGGGAACUGCUGGAAGAUGGUGGAGACCUAGAGAAACUGAGUCAUCACAAAUGAAGAACCUUCAUCUGGAGAUGGAUGGAGAUAGAGACAGAGACCCACACUGGAGCACUGGACUGAGCUCCCAAUGUCCCAAGGAGGAGCAGAAGGAGGGAAAAUAUGAGCAAAGAAGUCAGGACCACGAGGGGUGCAUCCACCCAUGGAGACAGUGGGGCUGAUCUAUUGUGAGC